GCUCGGGGUUUGAUUAUUCCGCUCAAACGCACGACUAACGCGCGCAGCUCGUCCCGCAUCGUCCCGCACGGUGGAGACGUCUCCAGCCGCUUAACGCAGACACUGGCGUGAGGCGACCUCCCGGCGAAACACACACAGGACUGAAAUAAGAAGCUGUGGGCUCCGUAGAUGUUACAGAUUCUCACCCGAAACAGAAGCAUAUACAUCUCCAGCUCAGCAAUGCGGCGCCCGACGCAGCCUCUCACUCCGUAGCCGAAUGGAAUGGAUCCAAAUGCGUUGGGCCUGUCGCAGCCGUCACGGAGCCACCUCUCAGGCCUGAACGUGAAUGGCUCCUGGAAGGUGUCCUCAUCAUGGCUGAUGGCGUAGUGAAAAAGUGAGAACGGGGUCUGUUGAGCCCUUAAAUACGGCAUCCGGACGACCUCCUGAGCAGACGGCAUCCGGUCUGCUGGUACCAACGUGGAAACCUCUUCAUAAAGUUUAUCCUGACAUUGCGGGUUCUUGGAAAGCAGCAACUCUGCCUCAUGUCACAUCCAAUAAAUAAAGCUUCAGCCAGGAUCUGACACAAUAUCAAGACACAAUGAGUGUGUGUUUAAAUCUGAAGCGACACUGGUGACAUCAGACGCCAAUAUAGAUCGGUGAAGGCUUUCCAGUUACCGUGUCCACCCCAGCCAACAGAAGCUCAGUGACACUGCCGUACACGUCAUUAACGCUCAUCUGAGGGUUGGAGAGCAGGUACGUCAGGUACUCGCCCUCCACCUCCUGCCCGGUGUCGACGCGCUGCUGAAUCACCUCCAACUUCUUGUCAAUCAACUGUUUCGCUAUUAUAAACAGAAGAAUGGGAGCAGUUUGAUGAUUGACACCAUUGAUAUCAAUGUACAAAACAGACCCAUCCCGGCUCACGCCCGGGGCGUCUCUAGGACGAGUUUCACAUCUGGACCCUGUGGUUCACCGUAGCUGAAGAUGCCGUCCCAGCCAGCGAUGUAGCGUUUCCAGUGGGGCAACACGCUGCGGCUCCACUUGGGCAUCAGCAGCACAGCCAAGACGUUGGAGAACAUCUGGGCUAUGGCAGCGAUGAAGUCCUGUGUCCCUGCAGGGAUUUCCUUCUCCAGACAUCCGAGUCUCGUCUCAAACAGAAUGGAAGCGAUGCCUGGAUGGUGAGAAGAGAGGAACGUAAAAAGGGCAGGGACGCUUCUGUCAAUUGAAAAACGAACUGUGUUGUUUACCCUCCAGUGAAAAUCGAUAGAGCUCAUUGGCCAAGUCAGUCACUAAGUCUGCUCUGGGGCUACACUGGCGCAGGUACACGAUCCUGUCGACGAAGUCUGUGACCACAGCACUGAUCACUCCACUGUAAUCGGCGGCGUCCCUGGGAUGCAGCAUGCGUUUGUUGAGCACCGAGCGCAGCUUGUACCACUGCUCCCCCUCCCUGUGCGACAGACACAAGCUUGACUUAGUGUAAUGUGUCCUAAUUUGUCUCUUUUAGAUGAGUUGAAUUUUACUGUGAAGCAUCCCAGUUACUGCAUCUGCAAAAUGCCAACCUGAUGCAGACGGUGAAUACAACAGAGGCCUCACCCUUCAUUGUGUUGGGAAUAUAAUUCCAGUCUGGGUCGUGGGCUGGCUUCGCCCCUUCUCCUGCUCCUGCCGUGGUCAAAUAAGCAUCACUCCACGAACUCCGCGCUGGUAUUUCCCACUCAAUCCCAAACGCGACCAGCUGACCAAAACCUGAUUGUGAUGGGAUAAUGGACACUUGUGUAAUUAAUCCCUCCAUCUCACCACUUGGUCCAAGGCAUCGCUCAGGGGGUUUGUGUGUUUGCUCAGACACAACAAUUAGACACACAAUCAGUGGGAACAUUGGUCAUUACCAUCACCCCCGGUCCGGCUUAGUCGCAGCAUGCUGCUCACGACUGACAUGCAUUCCCAUGGACUCUAUCGUACGGUACGUUUGUCUUUGUUUAGCCAUGUUUGUCUUUAUUUAACCACGCGUUGCUCAGCAUUUAAGAAGUGCAUUAGUGCAUGUGUGCUUAGCCGUGCCUAGCUGCUUGUUUAGCCGUUUGUUUAGCCUUUCUUUAGCCUUGCUCAGCUAUGUCAGCCAAGCUUUGCUCUGCAGAAGAUGUACCUUUUGUCAUUAAUGUUAGCCCUGUUUUGUUAGUCUGGUUUUCUCAGCCCUACCUGUUUACCUUUUGAGUUUUUUCAGGAUUCUGUACAAGCUCCUGGCCACAAUCCCAUUUACCUGAUGUAAAGACCAGAUAGUCGACAUUAGACUGGGCCCGUUUGUUCCUCCACUCCCAGGCUAAAGACGUGCAAGGGCUUCUAUGGAGUUCAACAACAUAUAGCCCUGUUGGAAGGCUCUCUGCCCCGUUCUGCUGCGGAUUUACAGUUUGCUCCUCAUUCUGUUGCAACCUCACGGAACGUUUCAUGCAACCCUGUUGCAACCUGUCAGCAGGACCCACCUCCAUCGGCUAAGUCCCCAGUUUUUUUUGUUCAGGCCUUUACAGUGUUCCCCAGGGCCGAUGCAUCCCCUGCCUCAGACUCUAGGUUGUCUUCUUCAGAGACUCGGGCUAUCUGGCAAGUGUUGCUCAGCAUUUAAGAUGUGCAUUAGUGCAUGGUUUUGCAGGUUUUGGCUUUUGUUUAGCCUUGUUCAACUACGCUUUGCUCUGCAAGAUGUACCUUGUGCCAGUUAUGUUUGACUUGUUUUGUUAGCCCUGUUUUGUUACUUUGGUUUUCUUAUGCCCUACCUGUUUUCUUUUUAGUUUUUUCCCUCUUGGUUUAUUUUGUGUGCAAUUAGCAGGAGUGUUUUUGAUUUUGUCAUUAAGUUUUUGAUUAAGUAGUAACUUGGGUCCCAAUCAACUCCCAUAGACUCCCACAAACGCAACUAACAGGAAUUGUCAGAGUCCACCAUGUUUGAUUUAUUUUCUCCAAGUUCGCUUUACAGCAUAGAAAGAUGUCAACCCUGCUGUAAAGAUAUCUGUAUUGUUACUGGCUAUAAUGCUAUUAUGAAUCGUGAAUAAUUUGUAUAAAUUUUUAAUGAAUCAACUAAAUGUAUUUAAUAUUAACAGUUAUAACCAGAAAAUCAAUAAACAUUUUUAUAUUGCAGCAAAGAAAUAAAGAAAAGAAAA